CCAGAAAAAUGGCCAGGACCCUCCGCGGCCGACGCUUCAGGGCGCACGGGCCGCCCCGCCUUUAAAUUUAAAAUUUCCCAAACGCUGCAUCUGAUUGAGCCGUGGCCUCGUGACGUCAUGGGCCAUUCCACCUGCGGGGCAGCGCGGGGGACGCAAGGCGGGCGGCGGGACUACAGCUAAACACGAGAGGGGAUUUAAAGGGCCUGGCGGAGAGUCGCAGAAGAGGGUCGGAGGGAGGAGGGGCGCCCGGGAGUCUGCGGAGAGCGGUGGUCCUGGAAUACCAGAAUACUAUAAUCUGCCAAAAGCCAGCAAACAUCAUCCUCCACCCCAUCCUUAAAGAGUUUGGAACCCGUAGACGAAACCAGAUACAAGGUCUUCCUGUGUUGCUCAGGCUGAUCCUGAACUCCUGGGCUCAAGCGACCAUCCUGCGUCAGCCUUCCAAGUACUGCGAUUAUAGAUAUGAGCCACCACACCUGGCCAGCUCUUUGCUUCUUAUAAGUGGUAGUACCAAAUUCAGAUAUUUUAUAUAUCUCUAUUGCCAUGUUAUAUCAUUGCUCUCUUUAUUACUGGACUUUAAUUAGAUUAGAAAGCCAAUUCCAGAAAUUCUAGAAAACCAAUUCAGAAUAUUCAUGCUUAAAUUUCGGUUCCCCUCUAGAACCACUGCUGGCACCAAAACCUUUAUUAGUCAGGGUUUUAUACAAAAAUAUAAGGAAUAGAAUAUCUAUAGUCUAUAGUCUAGUUAGAGUAGAAAUAGCUAAAUAUAAUUUGGCCUGAUAACUCAAUAGACUUAAAAGGCUGGUUGUGCUCACAACUUCUUUUAAAACCAGGUAUUUUGCACUGCAUGUAUUGCAACAUUUAUUACCACUGAAUAAUUUUCAAUGCUGGCCUUACAGAGGCUAUUUUUUCCUAGGUAUUAUAUUUGUAAUUAAGAGAUAUUCAGCAGUAGGCAAACUCUAAUGACACAAUAUUCAGUAAAAGUAAAAUUUAAUAAGUAAAAGUAAUAAGUAUAUGAUGGGAAUUUGAUUUUGGCUGUAGAGGACUAUUUUUUCACUUUUUAAAUAAAAAUUUUAAGGAGGUCCCACUUAGGGGAGAAUAGUGUAGAUUUGAUUUUCCUUAUUUCUCCCUCUCAGUGCAACUAAAAACUCUGGACAUUAAAUAAAGAGCAAAUAAGGCUGAGGUGGGAAGAUCACUUGAGCCUGGGAGACAGAGUUUGCGGUGAGCCAAGAAUGCACCACUGCACUCCAGCCAGGCAUCACAGUCAGAUCCUGUUUAAAAAACAAACAAACAAACAAAAAAACCAAAAAACCAAACAAACAAAAGCAACAACGAAAAACAAAUAAGAAGACUCUGAAAGGUGUGAAAGGAAGAUAGAAGAAGACAAACUGGCCAGGGAAUCUGGAACACAGUUGUGAUAACAGCCAAUGAGAAAAAACACAUUCCCUAAAGGGGAAAAAAAACAUUCAAAUGACAGCCGAUUUCUCAUCAGAAACCACAGAUGCUAGAAGAAA
rnacentral:lncRNA from 1 species